AGCUCCAAUAGCGUAUAUUAAAGUUGUUGCAGUUAAAAAGCUCGUAGUUGGAUUUCGGGGCGGCCUGGCUGGUCCGUCGCAAGACGAGUACUGGUCAGCCGCCCUUCCUCUCGAAAGCCCCGACUGCUCUUGAUUGCAGUGGUCGGGUAGUUCGGGACGUUUACUUUGAAAAAAUUAGAGUGUUCAAGGCAGGCUCUCGCCUGAAUACAUUAGCAUGGAAUAAUGGAAAAGGACCUCGGUCCUAUUUUGUUGGUUUCUGGGGCCGAAGUAAUGAUUAAGAGGGACAGUUGGGGGCAUUCGUAUUUAAUUGUCAGAGGUGAAAUUCUCGGAUUUAUGAAAGACGAACGACUGCGAAAGCAUUUGCCAAGGAUGUUUUCAUUAAUCAAGAACGAAAGUACGC
rnacentral:rRNA from 1 species